AGUAUCCAUAUAUCUCCUGCCUGUUCUGCACCAUCAUCAUUAUCACUUGCUCUCUCUUUCUCUAAGCCAAUAAUGGCCCAGCUCAGCUGCACCAUAAUAUUUUUUUGUUAAAAAAAAAAAAAAUCAAAUAAGAGAAGGCAGAGGAAGAUGGAUGGAUUGGAUAGACAUAACUCAUAAGACUUUCACUCUUCUUGUGUCUUCAAUUCUUUUCCAACCACAUCUCUCUUUCUUCCAUGACUACAUGAACAUUCAACAACAACAACAAUGUCGUAUUUCCUUAAAUACCCUCCUGAUUAUUCCCUUCUUCCAUGUCUCUUUCCUCACGACUCUCUCUGUCCGUUCUUCAUGGGCCCUUUUGCCGCCUUCUUACCUUUACAUUCUUCCUGUUUCAGAGAAAUUUAUUUAACAACAAAAACACUUCCACAUCUUUCGCAGAACCUUCCCUCGCUAUACAUUUCUUACCUUAUAUUAUUUCUCUUUCUCUCUUCAACCUUUAUUCUUCUCUUUCAAAGCGUAUUUCCUCCUUACAUUCGGUUUUGUUUCUUCUAUAUCUUUCUCCUAUUAUCUUUGGAUCUCUUUUUUCAAAGUGGGUUUGUGCUCUCUUCUUUUUUAAUACAAAUUCUUUGUCAGAACAAGCAAUUUUGGGAAGGCGAUUAAUAGACGGUUCAUCUUCUUUUCGUAAAAGUUUCAUCUUAUGAUCUGGGAUUGGUUGGUGUUCGUUAAAUUUUCAAGUUUUACUCUCAGAAUUCAAUUUUGAUGAAAAAGAUGAAAAGGGUUGCUGGGAAUUCUUAUCAUCAACCACUGUUUCAUAUGGUUGAUGAUGAAACUGGUGCUCGCUUCAAACAACAGAGGCUACUGCAGGAGUAUUUACAAGUGCAAAAGGAGUUUGUUUCCAAGAAGAAAAAGUUGCAGAUAGCAAAGCAGAAGAGGGAAAUUCUUUUGGCUGAAGUUCGAUUCUUGAGACAUAGGUAUAAUCUUCUGAAGAAACAAUCUCCAGAACUUGAAACUGAGAAAGAUCUUGUUGGAUCACUAAAUUCACAUUCGCAAAGCAAUUUGCUUGCUGAAAAUAGGAGCUUUGGUGGUAGUGAACAUGUUGUGAAGAGCUCACCUCCAAUUUUCAAUUUGAACCAAAGUUUGGAUGAUGAAGAUUGUUACAGGGGAAGGAAAGAAGACAUUGUUUUGGAUACAUUGAGAAUGGAGAAGCAGCAAAAGAAUUGGAUGAUCAAUGAGAAGAGAGUUGGGAAGAAGAAAAUUUCAUGGCAAGAUCAGUUAGAAGAUAAUUGAUUGAGAUAAAUGGAGUUGGUGGUGUUAUGAAGGAUUUAUGGUUUGGUCAGCAGGCAAUGGCUGUGCAUCUGCUUGAAUGUGUUAGGAUUGAUGAGUGUAGUGGAAUGAAUCCAUCACAUAUGAUAGCUGGAAUCAAGCUGAGCCAGACCAAAACGUGCACUGGCUUGAGUUCGGCUCGAAUCUUGAAUGACCAACAUAAGUUCGACCUUAAGUUUAUUCGAAUUGGCUAGAGAUGUUGUCGGAGACGAAAGAAAAGAAUGCUCAGGAGCAAAAGAACUAAAACAGCCUAGUAAAGAAGCUACAAAUUCAAAUGCAUUUUUUAUAUAUACUGCACCCGGUAUUCAAGGAAACAUUUUCCAGGUACCUGUAAAAAUAUCAAGCAAUGCUAUUAUCACAGUAAUGCUUGAUGCCUGGAAGACAUUGUUUAUUAUUUACGUACCAUCAACAUGUAAUAUUAGCUGAUUUAACAGCAAGAGUAUACAAGAAGGUGGUAGUGUACUCGAAGGCUAUCACUUUGCCUGCCGCCAGUGGUUCUGCAUUGUUGACGAGACAGUCAUCCAUGGCUAUGCGCUUGAAUAGGUUGGGGUUAAUGAGUGUUGAAGAGCUGAAGGCUCCACAGCUCACAUGAAUAUUAUGUAUAGGGCACCCUGCAGCACACAAGUUGGCUAUUUCCACUGAAUAAAUUGGUAUCCCAUUUGGUCGACGACCUGUGGCUCUCUGUGUAACUGCCAUAUCCUUCUUUGAACACUUUUGAUCUGCUCUACUUCCUGCAUCUUCAAUGAGAAAUAGCAUCCAUGAACUGACUCUUUUAAAAA